GAGGGUUGUGUGUUCAUCCAGUACUUAUGUGCUGCUGAUCUGAGUGGAGCAGUAGAGUCUCAUCAACACUCACCAUGAAGAUCACUCUCUCCGUAUUACUGCUACUACUUCACAUCAUCAGUAUUAAAUGUGAAAGUCUUGAGUCUAUUCCCACUGGUUCAGUGGUGAAACAACCUGGAGAAACUCUGAGUCUUUCCUGUAAAGGAUCUGGAUUUAGCUUUGGGAGCUAUGGCAUGCACUGGAUCAGACAAAAACCUGGAGAAGGAUUGGACUGGAUUGGUGCUAUCUGGUAUGAUGCCAGUAAAACUGUAUAUGACAAACCUAUUGAGGGAUGAAUAAAAAUUACUAGAGACAACUCCAAAAACAUGGUGUAUCUACAGCUGAAUGAUUUGACAGCACACGACUCAGCUGUGUAUUACUGCGCACGCUACCACAGUGGCAGAAACAUGUGAACCAGCUGUGCGAAAUCUUUUCAUGGAUGUUGUAUUAAACAUAGUUGAUGCUUUCCCAAGGUUAGCUAAUGGUGCCAUAGUUUAUUAAAUAAAAUGUAACAUUUAUCAAA